UUUUCUAGCCUUGUUCGUGUAAACAUCAGUUAGGUACCUUACCUAGAGGUCGUAUUUUUGAGAAAUCUGAUUGUAAAAAUGUCGCGAUGUCUUCUGAUUUUAUUCGUAGUCUCAAUUUCAUUAUUAGUCUAUUCUGUUGGUUUGGAAUCAUAUCUAAACAAUUCGCUUGUGUCAAUAUAUCCGCUCCAAAGGUGUUAUAUACCGUGUUAUGAUACAGAUGAAGUGGAAUGGAGGGUGAACGCAUACAAACCCAAAUAUUCAAUACAGGUGGAGUCGCCGAAUCGAAAGAAUCUCAUAAUGGAAAAACCUGGAUCGUACAAUACUGGAGUUUACACAUGCGUAUCUAAAAAGAACCCAGAUGUAUUUAUAAAUGUUGUACUUCACAUUAAAAAAUUCAGUGAAUGGCCAUCAUUCAAUGAUGAUGCACCACUUGAAUUGUGUUGAGCAUACUGCAAUGGAUUGUUCGAUCACAUUCAAAAUAUUCAAUUUCUUCGCCAAAUUGAAGUAUGUAGGUACCUACCUGCUUAAGGU